rnacentral:rRNA from 1 species
CCUUCGGAUUUUCGAGAUUGGGCUCUUCUGGUAUACUUUCUCGUACGGUUAGUCAACAUCGGUUUUGAAAUGUCAUGAAAUGACUGGAGGAAUGUGGCUUCGAUCUCGUAUUGAAGUGUUAUAGCCUUUGGUAGAUGUGAUGUUCGAGACCGAGGAUUGCAACGGAUACCCUUCUGGGCUAUUCGUCUGAUCUCUGAAACGUUGCCUUGAUGUCGAAAGCUUGCUUAUGAUGUUAAGGAUAUUACGGUCAAAAGGUUAGAACGGAUUAAA